UCUAUCAUGUUUCACAUAGCACACAAUUCCAUAUGCACUAUAUUUCCUUUAUUAUGCAUAUCUGCCUGCAACAUGUAUUCUUUAUUAUGCAUAUCCUACAUGCAACAAUAUUCCUUACAAAGCAUACAUUCAUGCAUUAUACAUUUCUAAUUUAUCGAGUUACAUUAUACAACACGUGCUAUCACAUAUCACAUAUAAAUUGAGUUCCAUAACCCAAUUAACUUAGUCAUAUUUUGACUUUAACAAUUCAUAAAGUAUGGUAUGUAACUCACCACAUAAUCAC
rnacentral:lncRNA from 1 species